CAAUAGCGUAUAUUAAAGUUGUUGCAGUUAAAAAGCUCGUAGUUGGAUUUCUGUUUUGAAUUUCCGGUCGGCUUCACUGAAGCGUGUACUAGGACAUUUGAUUCAUUUAUUGUGAGGACCCUUGACUGGCAUUAAGUUGUCUGGUUUUGUGGACUUGCAUCGUUUACUGUGAAAAAAUUAGAGUGUUCAAAGCAGGCUUUCGCUUGAAUACAUUAGCAUGGAAUAAUAAGAUAGGACUUUGGUGCUAUUUUGUUGGUUGAGCCUAAAGUAAUGAUUAAUAGGGAUAGUUGGGGGCACCUGUAUUGCGUUGUCAGAGGUGAAAUUCUUGGAUUUACGCAAGACAAACAGCUGCGAAAGCGUCUGCCAAGGAUGUUUUCAUUA
rnacentral:rRNA from 1 species